UAGGGAAUCUUCCGCAAUGGGCGAAAGCUUGACGGAGCAACGCCGCGUGAGUGAUGAAGGUCUUCGGAUCGUAAAACUCUGUUAUUAGGGAAGAACAAAUGUGUAAGUAACUAUGCACGUCUUGACGGUACCUAAUCAGAAAGCCACGGCUAACUACGUGCCAGCAGCCGCGGUAAUACGUAGGUGGCAAGCGUUAUCCGGAAUUAUUGGGCGUAAAGCGCGCGUAGGCGGUUUUUUAAGUCUGAUGUGAAAGCCCACGGCUCAACCGUGGAGGGUCAUUGGAAACUGGAAAACUUGAGUGCAGAAGAGGAAAGUGGAAUUCCAUGUGUAGCGGUGAAAUGCGCAGAGAUAUGGAGGAACACCAGUGGCGAAGGCGACUUUCUGGUCUGUAACUGACGCUGAUGUGCAAAAGCGUGGGGAUCAAACAGG
rnacentral:rRNA from 1 species